GUAGGUUGAACGGAUGGGCAUAUAAGGCUAGUUUUUUCUGCAGUGGAUUUACUAGAGCCUACACUGGCUUGAUUUAAAGCAUUUACGUCUGGCUCGGGUCCUUUUUUCCAUAAUGGUAGCAUGCGAUUGGUCACAUCACGACAUUCUAUCAUAUAUUUUUUACAGGACUUUUUAAUCAGCCUACUUUUCUUAUCACAAAUAGUAUUUAACAUUUCUACUGACCUGUUUUCUGGCGAUAAUCGUUCGGGAUAGGGCUCCGGAAAUACAUUAGGAUGCAUUAAAGUUAUAGUUCUUAAGUUCGAGACGAAAUCAGUCACGUAAGCACUUCCGCAUGUUCUGGAUACGUAAUCAUGGAAGUCUUCAUUGAUUCGCGAGCGUGGGUUAAACGUAACCGGAAGUGGGAGUCGUACUGAGCCGCUAUUUGUGAUUUUAUAUUUUAUUUUUUUCGGUUUUACAGUUAAUUUUGAUUUUUUAUCGGACCCGUCUAAGGUCUUUGAAUUAUUCUGACCCAUGGUCAGUGAUUUCCAGAGGGGUUUAGACGCUUUGAAGGAUUUAAGUUAGUUUUUAUUUUUGCUGUGGCACACCUGAGGUUACUUGAUUUUUUGCUAGCAAUUUUAUGUUUUUAGUGAGCAACUUCUCACUUUUUAACGAGCAACUUCUCGUUUUAUGACCCCAGGCAACUUCCUGUGUCCUUUCUGCUUUUAUUUACAAAACAACAGGCAACUUCCUGUGUUUCUAUGUGGGCCACUAAAGAAGGCUCCUCAGUGUAUCCCACUUGUUACUAUGUGGGCCACUGAAGAAGGCCUCGUCAGCGUAUCCCGUUUCUAUGUGGAUCACUGAGAAAGGCAUAACACAGUCUUAUAAAAUAAAAGACGAGUGCCUACCUUCGUCAGGAUCCCACUUCUGACACCAAAAUUGAAGGAAACUGUUUCCAGGGCCUACUCCGUGGAUCGGCUUCCUCCGAGGCGUGGACGUCUAUCAGCAGAGAAUGUACCUUCACCUAUCAGCAGAGAAUGUCCCUUAGUCUGUAACACAGUCAAAUAUAUUCUCAAG
ensembl:lncRNA